GAUGAACGCUGGCGGCGUGCCUAAUACAUGCAAGUCGAGCGAACAGACAAGGAGCUUGCUCCUUUGACGUUAGCGGCGGACGGGUGAGUAACACGUGGGUAACCUACCUAUAAGACUGGGAUAACUUCGGGAAACCGGAGCUAAUACCGGAUAAUAUUUCGAACCGCAUGGUUCGAUAGUGAAAGAUGGUUUUGCUAUCACUUAUAGAUGGACCCGCGCCGUAUUAGCUAGUUGGUAAGGUAACGGCUUACCAAGGCGACGAUACGUAGCCGACCUGAGAGGGUGAUCGGCCACACUGGAACUGAGACACGGUCCAGACUCCUACGGGAGGCAGCAGUAGGGAAUCUUCCGCAAUGGGCGAAAGCCUGACGGAGCAACGCCGCGUGAGUGGUGAAGGUCUUCGGAUCGUAAAACUCUGUCAUUAGGGAAGAACAUACAUGUAAGUAACUAUGCACGUCUUGACGGUACCUAAUCAGAAAGCCACGGCUAACUACGUGCCAGCAGCCGCGGUAAUACGUAGGUGGCAAGCGUUAUCCGGAAUUAUUGGGCGUAAAGCGCGCGUAGGCGGUUUUUUAAGUCUGAUGUGAAAGCCCACGGCGUCGAGCCGUGGAGGGUCAUUGGAAACUGGAAAACUUGAGUGCAGAAGAGGAAAGUGGAAUUCCAUGUGUAGCGGUGAAAUGCGCAGAGAUAUGGAGGAACACCAGUGGCGAAAGCGACUUGUCUGGUCUGUAACUGACGCUGAUGUGCGAAAGCGUGGGGAUCAAACAGGAUUAGAUACCCUGGUAGUCCACGCCGUAAACGAUGAGUGCUAAGUGUUAGGGGGUUUCCGCCCCUUAGUGCUGCAGCUAACGCAUUAAGCACUCCGCCUGGGGAGUACGACCGCAAGGUUGAAACUCAAAGGAAUUGACGGGGACCCGCACAAGCGGUGGAGCAUGUGGUUUAAUUCGAAGCAACGCGAAGAACCUUACCAAAUCUUGACAUCCUUUGACAACUCUAGAGAUAGAGCCUUCCCCUUCGGGGGACAAAGUGACAGGUGGUGCAUGGUUGUCGUCAGCUCGUGUCGUGAGAUGUUGGGUUAAGUCCCGCAACGAGCGCAACCCUUAAGCUUAGUUGCCAUCAUUAAGUUGGGCACUCUAAGUUGACUGCCGGUGACAAACCGGAGGAAGGUGGGGAUGACGUCAAAUCAUCAUGCCCCUUAUGAUUUGGGCUACACACGUGCUACAAUGGACAAUACAAAGGGCAGCGAAACCGCGAGGUCAAGCAAAUCCCAUAAAGUUGUUCUCAGUUCGGAUUGUAGUCUGCAACUCGACUACAUGAAGCUGGAAUCGCUAGUAAUCGUAGAUCAGCAUGCUACGGUGAAUACGUUCCCGGGUCU
rnacentral:rRNA from 1 species